rnacentral:misc_RNA from 1 species
AACUGAGACGAUCCCUCAUGCGAUUAGUUUAUCAUUACUACCACGGCCAUUUUGUACGCUACUUCAACUCUUCUUUUAUGGGGUGCAGUUUGUUAAGCAGCUCAUGCUGAAAAUAACAGCAACAUUUUGUCACAUUUAGCUUCAAACCAUGUUUAAAAAACUUGUGUGAAUUUUUGAGAGUCACUUUUGCACAUUUACAACAAUAUUUGUCAACUUAGAGAUAUUUUAAAUAUUUAAAUCCAAAUGUUAAAUCUAAAUGUUAAA